CACGGGGGGAGCAAGCGUUGUUCGGAAUCACUGGGCGUAAAGGGCGUGUAGGCGGUCGAGUAAGUGGGAUGUGAAAUGCCUCGGCUUACCCGGGGACCGGCAUCCCAAACUGCUUGGCUUGAGUAUGGGAGAGGAUGAGGGAAUUCCUGGUGUAGCGGUGAAAUGCGUAGAUAUCUGGGGGAACACCGGUGGCGAAGGCGGCAUCCUGGACCGGCAUUGACGCUGAGGCGCGGAAAAGCCAGGGGGAGC
rnacentral:rRNA from 1 species